UACGUAGGGUGCGAGCGUUAAUCGGAAUUACUGGGCGUAAAGCGUGCGCAGGCGGUCUCGUAAGCUGGGUGUGAAAGCCCCGGGCUUAACCUGGGAACGGCAUUCAGGACUGCGAGGCUCGAGUGUGGCAGAGGGAGGUGGAAUUCCGACGUGUAGCAGUGAAAUGCGUAGAGAUGUGGAGGAACACCGAUGGCGAAGGCAGCCUCCUGGGCCAGCACUGGACGCCUCAGUGCACGAAAGCGUGGGGAGCAAACAGGA
rnacentral:rRNA from 1 species